rnacentral:rRNA from 1 species
UACGUAGGGUGCAAGCGUUAUCCGGAAUCACUGGGCGUAAAGCGUGCGUAGGUGGCGUGUUAAGUGUGAUGUUAAAUCGUGUGGCUCAACCAUAUCGAUGUGUCGCAUACUGGCAUGCUAGAGGACAGCAGAGGCAAGUGGAAUUGGUAGUGUAGCAGUGAAAUGCGUAGAUAUUACCAGGAACACCAAUGGCGAAGGCAGCUUGCUGGGCUACUCCUGACACUGAGGUACGAAAGCGUGGGGAGCGAACAGG